UACAGAGACCUCAAGCGUUAUCCGGAAUCAUUGGGCGUAAAGCGUACCGAUAGGUGGCUUAGAAAGUCAGAAGUGAAAUCUUAAGGCUCAACCUUGAGACUGUCUUUUGAAACUUCUAAGCUAGAGGGGCAAAGAGGAAGCUGGAACGAACGGUGUAGUAGUGAAAUGCGUUGAUAUCGUUCGGAACACCAAUAGCGUAGGCAGGCUUCUGGGUGCCACCUGACACUGCUAGGACGAAAGCGUGGGGAGCGAAUGGG
rnacentral:rRNA from 1 species